rnacentral:tRNA from 1 species
GGGUCGUUAGCUCAGUUGGUAGAGCAGUUGACUUUUAAUCAAUUGGUCGCAGGUUCGAAUCCUGCACGACUA